rnacentral:rRNA from 1 species
CCUACGGGGGACAGCAGUGAGGAAUAUUGGUCAAUGGCCGGAAGGCUGAACCAGCCAAGCCGCGUGAAGGACGAAGGUGCCAAGCAUUGUAAACUUCUUUUGUCAAGGGACAAAAUCAGGCUCGAGAGCCUGACCGAGGGUACUUGAAGAAAAAGCAUCGGCUAACUCCGUGCCAGCAGCCGCGGUAAUACGGAGGAUGCGAGCGUUAUCCGGAUUUAUUGGGGUAAAAGGGUGCGUAGGCGGACUGUUAAGUCAGCGGUAAAAGCCCGGGGCUAAACCGCGGUGAGCAGUUGAAACUGGCUGUCUUGAGAUGUCGAGAGGUAGGCGGAAUGCGCAGUGUAGCGGUGAAAUGCUUAGAUAUUGCGAAGAACUCCGAUUGCGAAGGUAGCAUACCGGCGGAGAUCUGACGCUGAGGCACGAAAGCGUGGGUAUCGAACAGGAUUAGAUACCCUGGUAGUC